UGUGGCCAAGCUCCUAAGGGCGUACGGUGGAUGUCUUGGCGUCGAGAGGCGAUGAAGGGCGUGGAAGACUGCGAUAAGCCCGGGGGAGCUGUCAAACAAGCGAUGAUCCCGGGAUCCCCGAAUGAUCACACGCUGAACCCAUAGGCGUGUGAGGCGAUACCCGGCGAACUGAAACAUCUUAGUAGCCGGAGGAAAAGAAAGAAAACUCGAUUCCCUAAGUAGCGGCGAGCGAAAGGGGAACAGCCCAAACCGUGGGGAUUUUCCCUGCGGGGUUGUAGGGCCUCCACAUGGGUGAUGUGAACGGCUAGCUGAACCAUCCUGGAAAGGUGGACCACAGAGGGUGACAGUCCCGUAAGCGAAAGCUGGCUCACAGCCCGGAGGUACCUGAGUAGGUCGGGGCACGUGGAACCCCGACUGAAGCUACGGGGACCAUCCCGUAAGGCUAAAUACUCCUCGACGACCGAUAGUGGACCAGUAGGGCGACCGAAAGAUGAAAAGAACCCCCGUGAGGGGAGUGAAAGGAGACCCUGAAACCGUAUGCCUACAAGCGGUCGGAGCACCGAUUUCCUACCCCGCAAGGGGUGAGGUGGGUGUGACGGCGUGCCUUUUGCAUAAUGAUCCGGCGAGUUACUGUCGGCGGCUUGGUUAAGGCCUUCCGGGCGGAAGCCGUAGGGAAACCGAGUCUGAAUAGGGCGUUUUGUCGCCGGCAGUAGACGCGAAACUGCGUGACCUACCCAUGGGCAGGGUGAAGCGCGGGUUACACCGCGUGGAGGCCCGAACCCACUUGGGUUGAAAACCGAGGGGAUGACCUGUGGGGAGGAGUGAAAGUCUAAUCAAACGCAGAGAUAGCUCGUUCUCUCCGAAAUAGCUUUAGGGCUAGCCUCGAGACACUACGCACCGGGGGUAGAGAGACUGAAUUGGCAUGGGGGCCUUCGCCGGCUGCCCAGCCGAACCAAACUCCGAAUACCGGCGCGACUAUCUCGGGAGUCAGUCCCUGGGGGAUAAGCUCCAGGGUCGAGAGGGAAACAACCCGGACCACCAGCUAAGGUCCCUAAGUAAGGCUCAGUCACAAAGGAAGUGGGGUUGCUGAGACAGCCAGGAUGUUGGCUUAGAAGCAGCCACCAUUUAAAAAGUGCGUAAAAGCUUACUGGUCGAGCAACCCUGCGCCGAAAAUGAACGGGAGUAAGCCUUACACCGAAGCUGUGGGCUACGCUACGCGUAGCGGUAGGAGAGCGCUGUAGAGCAGAUACAGGCCGCUUCGUGAGGAGCGGUGGCGGGCUCUACAGGUGAUUAUGCCGGAAUGAGUAACGAUAAAGCAGGUGAGAAUCCUGCUCGCCGAAAGCCUAAGGUUUCCUGGGGAAGGUAAUUCCGCCCAGGGUUAGCCGGUACCUUAGUCGAGGCCGAAAGGCGUAGACGAUGGACAGCAGGUCAACAUUCCUGCGCCACUGAGGAGGACUGAUGGAGGGACGGCGUCCGUAGGGUGAUCGGACGGCUAGAAAUGUCCGUGGACCGUUCUGAGGUGGGGGUAGGCAAAUCCGCCCCCGCAAGCCGAGGGACGGGACCGACCGCGUUUUGUUCGGGAAGUCAUCCGAAAGACGCCCGAGAAAAGCUCCUAAAGGUUGAAUCCUCAGUGACCGUACUAAAACCGACACAGGUAGGCGAGACGAGUAGUCUCAGGCGCUCGGGAGAACGCUGGUUAAGGAACUCUGCAAAAUGGCCCCGUAACUUCGGGAGAAGGGGUGCCCUCGGAGGUGAUGAGCUUCUGGGGGUCUCAGUAAAUCGGCUCUGGCGACUGUUUAUCAAAAACACAGGACUCUGCUCAACUCGUAAGAGGAUGUAUAGAGUCUGACGCCUGCCCGGUGCCGGUAGGUUAAGGAAGCGGGUUAGCCGCAAGGCGAAGCUCGCAACCGAAGCCCCGGUAAACGGCGGCCGUAACUAUGACGGUCCUAAGGUAGCGAAGUUCCUUGGCGGGUAAGUUCCGUCCUGCAUGAAUGGCGUAACGACCGGAGCACUGUCUCAACCAGCGACCCGGUGAAAUUGUAGCUGUGGUGAAGAUGCCACAUACCCGCGGCUAGACGGAAAGACCCCGUGAACCUUUACUGUAGGCUGGUAUUGGGCUGUGGUGUAUCUUGUGUAGGAUAGGUGGGAGGCUGUGAAGCCGGGACGCCAGUUCCGGUGGAGCCGCCCUUGAAAUACCACCCUGGAUACACUUUAGUUCUAACUCCGAUUCCCGUAAACCGGGCGGAGGACAGUGCCAGCUGGGCAGUUUGACUGGGGCGGUCUCCUCCUAAAGAGUAACGGAGGAGUCCAAAGGUACCCUCAGCCUGGUCGGCAAUCAGGCGUUGAGCGCAAAGGUAGACAGGGUGCUUAACUGCGAGACCGAUGGGUCGAGCAGAUACGAAAGUAGGGCUUAGUGAUCCGGUGGUCCCGGAUGGAAGGGCCAUCGCUCAACAGACAAAAGGUACUCCGGGGAUAACAGGCUUAUCGCGCCCGAGCGUCCAUAGCGGCGGCGCGGUUUGGCACCUCGAUGUCGGCUCAUCGCAUCCUGGGGGUG
rnacentral:rRNA from 1 species